rnacentral:rRNA from 1 species
AACGCGAAGAACCUUACCUGGGCUCGAACGGCUUAAGAACAUCUUUGGAAACAUUGACUUCUCGCAAGAGACUUGAGUCGAGGUGCUGCAUGGCUGUCGUCAGCUCGUGUCGUGAGAUGUUGGGUUAAGUCCCGCAACGAGCGCAACCCUUGUCCUGUGUUGCCACUCCCGUAAGGGAAGCACUCUCAGGAGACCGCCAGCGAUAAGUUGGAGGAAGGUGGGGAUGAUGUCAAGUCAUCAUGGCCUUUAUGUCCAGGGCUACACACGUGCUACAAUGGGCGGUACAAAGCGCUGCAAACCCGCGAGGGGGAGCCAAUCGCAAAAAACCGUCCUCAGUUCGGAUCGCAGGCUGCAACUCGCCUGCGUGAAGCUGGAAUCGCUAGUAAUGGCAUAUCAGAACGAUGCCGUGAAUACGUUCCCGGGCCUUGUACACACCGGACACGC